UCUCUGAAGGACGAGCCUGCGGCCCAUCAGCUAGUUGGUGAGGUAAGAGCUCACCAAGGCGAAGACGGGUAGCUGGUCUGAGAGGAUGAUCAGCCACACUGGAACUGAGACACGGUCCAGACUCCUACGGGAGGCAGCAGUGGGGAAUAUUGCGCAAUGGGCGAAAGCCUGACGCAGCCACGCCGCGUGAGCGAUGAAGGCCUUCGGGUCGUAAAGCUCUGUGGGGAGAGAAGAAUAAAGCCUGUGAAGAAUGGGCCUUGACGGUAUCUCCUUAGCAAGCACCGGCUAACUCCGUGCCAGCAGCCGCGGUAAUACGGAGGGUGCAAACGUUGCUCGGAAUCAUUGGGCGUAAAGCGCACGUAGGCGGCGAAGCAAGUCGGGUGUGAAAGCCCUGGGCUCAACCCAGGAAGUGCAUUCGAAACUAUUUCGCUUGAAUCUCGGAGGGGGGUCAGAGAAUUCCCGGUGUAGAGGUGAAAUUCGUAGAUAUCGGGAGGAAUACCAGUGGC
rnacentral:rRNA from 1 species